CUUAGCGACCCGGCCGGCCCCGCCCCUCGGCCUCGCUGUUUCCUUCCUUAAGGUAAACAGACUGAACCGAGCCCGGCGAGGAGGACGAGGACCCGAAGCCCCUUCGGAGCCGCAGGAGGCGGAACCUGAGGAGCCUCUCGCUCCGUGGGCCCCCGGGUCUUGGUCGCCUCUCCCAUGGCUGCCAUCGGGGGACGCAGACGGAACCUCGGUUCCGCCGCCGAGGACCUUCCCGGAGCGCCUUCCACCCCCGCGCGCUGCCAGAGCAAACUGAUCAAACAAAUAGAUUUGGAUAUUUAUGAAAGCAGACAGAGCUGUUUGCACAUUUCAUUCAGCCUGCUACUCAGAAGACUGCAACCUCACCUUUGAAAAAGAAACCAGAGUGCCCAAGAAUAAAUCGGAUGAGAAAAAGAACUUGCUCUCAGUUGUUACCAACACUGUAGAACAAACAGAGCAAGAAGAGGAUGAAGAAGUACUCAUAGAAAGCUCUAAAGGAACCAGUGUUUACUCCUGAUUUAGAGACUCUCCAUCACCUUUUCUGCUUUCUGCCUGCCAUGAACUGUUCCUCCUCUGCAAUGUGUGUCUUUCAUGCCACCCUCGCUUGGAGCCAGCCUACUGUGGACUGAAACCUCUAUAAACUGUAAGCCAAAUAAACCUUUCCUCCUUUAACUUUGAGCAUCAGGUAUUUUGUCUCAGCAAUGAGAAGAGUAACUUAGCUAACAUGUGAGUGGUAUUCCCCAUGAGACUUGUUAGAAAUCAGAAUCCAAGCAUUUCCCCCCAGAGUAUCGUGUGCAGUGGAGCUGACAGCUGGUGAUACCAAGAUCUCACUGUCUACUUGUUGACGAGACUAUGGGUGAUCUGCACUUUGAUGUUUAAUAAUCAGACCUUUAAAUCUUAAUUAUAGUUGAUAAUUAGAAUAAGAGAAAAUUGCUUUGGCUCUCAGUAACUGGUGGCUCAGUCAACCAGUUGAGCAAAAACAGGUGAGAAUGUCCCUCCCUCAACACAUGUCACUUUAUGAGAGAAAUCUGCUAAUUUCCAAUGAGUCAAAUUACUAAGUUCACAAAUAAUUUUGAUUUUGAGCCUUCAAAACAUUUGUGACUUUUAAAAAUGGCUUUUCUUCUUUGAGUACAGAACUGAGUUGUACAAAGAAAAAAGCAAAUAUUAAAUUAGGAGAGGAGCUUUUUUCCUACUGUUGGGUACAUGUAGUAAACUCAGUCACUGUAUUUUGUUGGAAUUGUUCAGGUCUUGUGGGGCUUUCUUCAUUUAUAUACUGCUGGCACAUGAUACUUAUACAAUAAAUAUAGAUGACUUUCUAAUUUAAUUUAAUUUUGGAUUAAUGAAGUCACAGCCCAUAUUUUAUCACAAUCCUCCUGUCCCCUUUCCAUAUGACCAGUUGAUAACAUUAACAUGUAUCACCAGAAAUGUACCCAAAACAGGUCUGUGUUUUUAUAGUCAUAUAGUGCUUUUCAGUUAGCAUCAGAGGAACUUGGCAGUAGAGACAAACACAGUGCCAAAAACAAAACAAAGCAAAAUAAACCCCGGUUCAAUUAAAUUGUGUAAAAUGCUACAGAGGAAACUAAAAGGUCUGCGAAUCUAACAGGAAAAGCGGUCUUCAAAACACCAGUCUAAAGGCUGCAGCAAACUAAGGGGAAGUGAAAUGAGGAAGCCCUUUGUGCUGGCUGGGAAAGUCAGUGCCUGAUCUCCUGGUCCAAAUCAGGAUAGCAGAAGUGAAGGGGGAAGCUGGAUUUUAAGUAUCCUUGGAAAUGAACAAAUCGAACUUGGUAGUAGAUUGGAUUGGGGAGAAGAGACAGACAGUGAGAGAAAAAGAGAAAUCAAAAAUAAUUCUGAUUUUUGGGCUCAAACGACUCAAUGAAUGGUGGCACCAGUUAUUGAGAUGGAAAAUGAAGGUUUAGGAGGUUUGAGAGAAAUUGACUUCCUUUUUGGAUAUAAGGCCUAAUGAGAGACAUUCAAAUGGGUGUGUCAAACAUGCAGUUGGAUAUGCAAGCAUAGAGUUCAGAAGGGUUUGCAGCACAGAUAAAAAGUUAGGAGUUUGUCUUAAUCAGCUCAGUCUUUCAUAAGAAAACACCAUAAAUUGGGAGGCUUACAAAACAGGAGUUUAUUGUCUUACAGUUCUUGAAACUGCUUUGGACUCCAACAUUAAAUUGCCAGCAGGGUUGAUGUCUGGGGAGACCUCCCUUGGGUUGUCGAUGACCGAGUUCUUGCUUUGUCCUGUCAUGGUGAACAGAGAGCCCUCUGGUGUGUCUUCAUCUUUUAAGGCCACCAGUCAGCCCUAUUGGGUUAGCAGUGCACAUUUAUGACCUCAUUUAACCCCCUGCCUCCUAAAGACAUUGUUUCCAAGUAGAAUCAGUCACGUUACAGGUUACAGAUGGUUUGGGCCUAUGAGUUAGGGAGUGGGAAGACUUUAGUCCACAGCACCGUUGUCAGAAUGUAGAUGCUACUCAAAACCAUGGAGAUGGACAGAAUUAUCAAAGAGAAAAUGGAAUGGCAAAGGACCUAGUACAGAUAUUUAGAGCAUAUUACAAAAAAGAUAACACAGCAGCCGUUGAAAAGUGAAUGCCAGGAGUUUCAAGGAGGACAUAGUGGACAGUGUCCAAUGCUGCUGCCUUAAUAGCCAUUGUUUUUUCAUAAACAGCAAGGUCACUGGUGGUCUUAGUAAUGGUCUCAGUGGGGUCGUAGGGGACAGCACCAGAAUGGAGUUGUCUGAGGAAUGAGUAUAGGCGUAAAAGAGGAUUCAAGAGUGGGUGAUGAGUGUUUUUUCAUGUUUGUUUUGAGAGUAUUGAGUGAAGGGGCCCGAGAAAUAAAUGGCAUAAUAGGUAGAGAGGAGCGUGAGACUAUGGAAAGUCUUUCCUUGUAAUUUCUGUAAGUUCAGAGACUUUGACUAGAAUAUCUCCCCAGGAUUUAGCCACAGCUAUGAUUUCUUUUAAUCUCUUAAAAUCCUCAAAGAACAAGAAGUAGCCUCCUUUUAUAAAAGUGAAAACCGAGGCACAGAGCUACUUGGUCAAAGUGGCGUUGUGCUAAGGGCUUUAUACCCAACAUCCUUACCAUUCUUCUCAUCUUCCUGCACUGAGUUUAUGUGUCUGUGUCUAAAAUCCUUAGCCCUGUGCCCAGCAGAGAGCAGGUGCUCAACAGAUCAAGUUACUGCUGUCACCUUUUAGAUGAUCAGUGUCGGUGUUGCCUGGAAUUCUCUCUCUUGUGCAACAGCAGCUCAGAUGGAAUGAAGCUCGCAGUUGGACACCUAAGGCAGUUUCAUGUUUGUCUGUGAUGUACUAGAUUUCCUUGGGGUCCUUUUAUAUGAACAGUGUCCGUUAAAUGCCAGCAUCACAGUGCUGUCUUGUCAAGAAGUCCCUGGGAACUCAUACGACAGAAAUGAGGAGGUCUGUGUAGUUCAUCCCAUGCUCAUGGUGGGCCAGAUCCUGAUUUACUGGGGUGCAAGAUCACUGUCCGCGCUAUUUAAAAUUUCCCUCCCUGUUUUACCUGAGUGUGUGCAGUUGGCCGCACAGGAGACUUCUCACCUUGCCCCCUUGCUACUGGCAGUUCUGCUGUCUCCUCCCCAGGGGGACUGGCUGGAAACUGCUGUCUCUGUUCCCCUCUACUCCUUUUGAAGCAGCUCUACUUAAAGAUGAGAUGAUUCAAAGUGUGUUUUUACAAACUGAGCUUCUAAAACUAAAAUAUUAAUUAGGUAUUUACCUAGGAGAUAUUAGAGAUUUAAAAAAUGAUAAUAUCAUACAUUACUAUGUCCUGUAUGAGAAGUAGUAUAUAUAAAUUCUAAUUUGUUUGAAUUAGUAAUGUAGCCUCGUUACCAAUUGAGAGAGUUACAAGAGCAUUGAUACAAAGAACUUAGCAGGCCAGGAUCCCAGUGUUUGUUGCUGUCUUCAUGUGACAGUUUACUAAGAUGCUUAACUAUAAGAGCCAGGCAUGGUGGGGAAAGCCUGUAACCCCAGAAGUCCCAGAAGUUGAUGCAGGAGGAUCAUAAAUUGGAGCCCAUUCUGGUCAGUUUGGAGACUUAGAGA